rnacentral:rRNA from 1 species
CCUACGGGUGGCAGCAGUGAGGAAUAUUGGGCAAUGGGCGCGAGCCUGAACCAGCAAAGUCGCGUGAAUGAUGACUGCCCUACGGUUUGUAAACUUCGUUUAUAAAGGAAUGAAGUGAGUCACGUGUGCCUUUUUGUAUUUACUUUAUGAAUAAGGAUCGGCUAACUCCGUGCCAGCAGCCGCGGUAAUACGGAGGAUCCGAGCGUUAUCCGGAUUUAUUGGGUUUAAAGGGAGCGUAGAUGGGUUGUUAAGUCAGUUGUGAAAGUUUGCGGCUCAACCGUAAAAUUGCAAUUGAUACUGGCAGUCUUGAGUACAGUUGAGGUAGGCGGAAUUCGUGGUGUAGCGGUGAAAUGCUUAGAUAUAACGAAGAACUCCGAUUGCGAAGGCAGCUUACUAAACUGCAACUGACAUUGAUGCUCGAAAGUGUGGGUAUCAAACAGGAUUAGAGACCCCGGUAGUC